UAGGGUUAAAAAUUUCUGAGCCAACUUUAAAAAUAGGAAGAUUUUCAUGUACAAGUCUGAAUUUCUGUUUCUGCUCAGGAGGGUAAAAAAAAAUAAAUAAAUAGAAAGAAAGAAAAGUAAAGAAACCAAAACCAUUCAGAACUUCCUGCUGCCUGUGGCUCACUGGCUGCAACAGCUGAUUGUUAUCCAGAAGAUCCCUGGGCUGACCGCUUACCUCUGAGCGUGGUCCAGGAAGAGGAAGUUUCUGAGACUUCUGAAUUGAAACUGAAAAUCAACCUACUUCCAUCUGCUUUAAAAGGGAAUCAUGGACAUCGAAGCGUAUUUUGAAAGAAUUGGUUACAAGAACCCUAGGAACAAGUUGGGCUUGGAAACAUUAACUGACAUUCUUC